CCCGCGCCCGCCUGCCCGCCCGCCGCAAGUUUGUUCCCCGCCGCCGCGGCCUGCGCGGAGGGAGGAUCGCGCGCGGGGAGGCGCCGAGGGGCGGCAAGAGUGGAGAAAGUGCGGAAAGAAGCAACAGCCGCUCCACCCGCGGGCGGAAAAGUGGCCGGGCGCGGCGGCGGGAUGCGGCGCGGCUAACGGUCCCCGGCGGCCGCGCGAACCGCUAGGCGCAGAGGCAGGUCAAGGUUUUUAAAAAUUGUUCCAACUCUAAGACGUCCUGCUUGUUUGCAUGAUGAUUACUCUUCUGACUGGUUUAACCCAGCCUCUGCCUGCCCGUGCUCUGAGAGCUGGCUUCUGUGGACCCCAUCACUCGGGCUCCUUGGUCCUCUGAGUUGGUUUGGUUUCAGCCAGUUUGGGAAGCAUUGGCAAAAGAUCAAAGUAAGGAGAGAGUCCAGAAUAUUUAUUCCCUCGCUGUGGCUACAGCCUCAUCUUCACCAAGGCCCGUGGCUCCUGCCAGACACCUGUGUCUUGUAGCCAAGUUCUAGAAACUGCUUCUCCCCCUUGUACCUUCAGGCCUAGAGAUAGAAUGAUUAGAUUCUCUACCACUCCUUUCCUUAAAAGCUACCUCCACCUUUGUAAGAAUUCUCCUCAUUAAACUCUCUUCAGUGACCCUUUGAAGGUGCCACCUGCUUCCUGCCAGGACCCUGAGUAAUAUGUAAGUUGGAAUUAGAAAUUGUGUUCAACCUUGUCAAUCAAGAGUACCCACCGAUUCUAAAUUAAAAUCUGAAUGUGAGGUAAGUAUCUUAUGUUAUCCUGACAUAUGUUCUUCAUGCAAAAUCUGGCAGAUACCAGUUAUUCAAUAACUGUAGAAUGAAGGUUCUAUCAUCUAAGAUCUAGGUGAGACAACUUCAAAAUAGCAAUUUAAAUCGGAGUUUAUGUGUACUUAAGACACAGUUCCCAGGGUAUUUCAUAAUGACUGGUUUUUGCCACUUGGCCAUUUGCAGUAAUGACUCUGUGUCUUCCCUCCUUGCAUGGGCCUAGGUGCCACCAUGCUGUGAGUUCUGACCAGUGUGAUAGAAAUAGAAGUGAUGUGUGCAGCGCUGAGGCCAGUCUUCAAAGGCCAUGACUCACCAUUCUUGCACUUCUCCCUGUUGGUUGAAAUGAGACCUGCUAUGCCAGGCUCCAAAAGGAAGGCAGACCAGAACUGAAGAGGCAUGGCUCUGGACGCUGAAAUACCAUCAUCAGCCCCAGAUUUCCCUUAGAAAGAAAGACAGAAACACCAUGGAUCAGCCACCUUAUCAGAAGUUGUGUUGAUACUCAGCCGGCAUCACUCCUGUGUUGUGUGGGUAUGUUUGUGUUCUCUUGGCUGCUGUGAAAACCUGACCCACCAGUGAAUUAAAACCACAUUCAAUAGCUUAUCAUCCUGGAAGACAGAAGUCCAAAGUGGGUGUCACACAAUUAAAUGAUUCUCUAUCAAGGUUUUGGCAGGAUUAGGGGCAUCAGAAAGCUUCAGGGGAGAACAUUUCUUUGCCUUGUCCAACUCUGAGGGCCACUCAUGCUCCUCAGCUCACGGGCCUCUUUCUCCACCUCCAGACUCACCAACGUCUGUAGAGCCUUUCUCCAAUGGCUUGCUCACUGGCCCACUGUUCUGCUCAUCCACCCAACAAAGUAGAUGCUUUCGUGAUGAUCUUAGCCCAGCCUAGAUCAUCCCAUCUGUCUCCCUGCUUUAAGAUGAGCUGAUAAGCAAGUUCCGUUCCACCUGAAACCUUAUAUCCCCUUUGCCACGUGACUAAUAUAGUCACAGGUUAAAUUUGGGAGGCAUUGUAAUAUAUGUUUAAGUUUUGUGAUUGAGAAACAAGUUUUUAUUAACAUUUUCAUCUUUAAUUUCAGUGCAGCUUUCCAGUAUUAUGCAAAUUAGUCAUUACUCUUUAUGCCACAUAGAAAUCUUUAAUAAUUAAGUAUUAAUUACUUUUUUCAACAUCUGUUCCUGAGAGCAUUUUAUGUGAUAGACACAGCAUGGAUCUAUAAAUAUCUAGCACAGUCCCUGACUUCAAGAAACUUAAAGAUUGUGGGAGAAGUAGAUUUGUCAAAAGUGACCAUACAAAUGGCAGGGAGGCAUGGUUACACAUAGGAGAUACUGAGGUAGAAGAUGUCUGUACUGGAAACGAUGGAGUUUAUCUGAGUUCAAGUAGAGCAGAGAGAAAUAAAGGUGAAAAUCACAAGAUAUGAAAAAUCCCAGGAUGAAAGCCUAGCCCUUCCAGAGGUAAACCUGUAGAGGUGAGGGUUUGACUAUAAGGUGUUCCUGGUUCCAGAUGAGGCUGUGGAGGUGGGCGAGUAGGAGACAGAUUGUGUGAAUGAUGCUUUGAGAAUUUGGGACAUUAUAUUGAAAGUAACUGUAGGACAUUGCCUUGGAUCUUAGGAGGACUGCAUUACACAAGAUGUUAAUUAGUAUACUGAGAAGGGAAAAUAAAAAUGAGCAGGAUGAACAAUAAGAGAACCCUAGCAUUUUUCUUUAGAAUAAGCAUUUAAGAAGGAAUUCAAGAAGGAAUAGCCAUGUGGAUGCACACAUACCCGUGAGGAUCCCAAGGAAUCUCAGAUGGGGUCAGCAUUCCCAGAGGUAUUAACAACUCUGUAGCUGUGUUAAAGGUUCAGCAUUAAUAUUUCCUCUGUUGUCAGUAUUACCAAAAUUGCACCAGGCUGCAUAUUCAUAUGGUGUUGCCAGCUCUUUAAUGAUGCCUCACUACCAUGACAGACCCCCAAAAUAUAUAUGCUCCAUGAACAAGUAUUAAAAAGGAGCCCCAAAUGUACCCAUUAAUUCUUGCUGUUUACUGGUCAUUAUUUUUGUUCUAACAGAGGAGUGGUACUCCUAGCCCUGUGAGAUCGGCUGUCUUCCAGGUCCCUGCUUCCAAGAAGGCAGAUUUGUUUGGUUUUGCUGGGUUAAAAAGUAUCUGUACAUGUCAGGCAUAUGGAAUUCCUGGGACUGUCAAGCAUUCUCCUUUGCAGAGCUAAUCAUUCUUCCACAUACCCCUAAAUGCCUCAUCUCACAACAUGUUUUUGUUUUAUUUCAUUUCAAAUUAUGUGGGUGUGGGCACAUGUUUACAUGAAUGCAGUUGUUUGUAGAGAGCAGAGGAAGUUAUUGGAGCCCCUGGAACCUGAAUUAUAGGACGUUAUGAGCUGCUCACAGUAGGUGCUGGGAGCAAACUAGUGACCUAUAGUUGGAUUUUUUUUCUCUUACUCUUUGCUCUUUGGGGACCCACCACCCAGCUCCCAAAUAAGUACAUGGAGGCUUAUUCUUACUUAUGAAUGCCUGGCCUUAGCUGGGUUUGUUUCUCGCCAACUUUUCUUAAAUUAUCCCAUCUAUCUUUUGCCUCUGGGCUUUUAUUUUUAUUCUAUAUAACUUUCUUUACUUCUUACUCCGUGGCUUGCUGUGUAGCUGGAUGGAUGGCCCCUGGAGUCCUCCUCCUUCUUUUCUUGCUCCUCCAUCUUCUCCUUCUUCUUCUAUUUAUUCUCUCUGUCUGCCAGCCCCGCCUAUCUUUCUCCUGCCUAGCUAUUGGAUGUUCAGCUCUUUAUUAGACCAAUCAGGUGUUUUAGGCAGACAAAGUAACACAGCUCCACAGAGUUAAACAAAUGUAACAUAAAAGAAUGCAACACAUCUUUGCAUCACUAAACAAAUAUUCCACAGCAUAAACAAAUGUAACAUAUUUAACUAAUAUUCUACAACAAUGGCCUCUGCAAGGUAAUACAGUGCUCCAGCCACAAACCCUGACCAUGCACACAAACAUUCUUCUUUCCCCACUUGUGCUGGAGAUUGAAGCUGGAGCCUCACACGUGGCAGGCAAGCACUCUACCUCCAAGCUGUCUCCAGCGCUAUUGCUACAUGGGGUUUUGUUUUCUUCAUCAAUCUCCUCUCUCGCUCUGAGCUUUUUUUUUUUUUUUUUUUUUUUUUGGUUUUUUGAGACAGGGUUUCUCUGUGUAGCUUUGUGCCUUUCCUGGGACUCACUUGGUAGUCCAGGCUGGCCUCGAACUCACAGAGAUCCGCCUGGCUCUGCCUCCCGAGUGCUGGGAUUAAAGGCGUGCGCCACCACCGCCCGGCUCGCUCUGAGCUUUUAAUCUCUGCGUUUGUGACGCUUAAGCUAGCACUUCUGCUGUGGACAGUAGACGUUCUCGUCACUGGGGACUCCCUGCUCAAUAAGCUUUUGUGAAGAACAAGGGGGAGGCAGUCUAUGUAAGUUUGUACUGGUGUCUAGCACUUGGUCAACUGUAAAUGAAAGGCAACAACAAAAACAUCAAGUCCACAAGGAUUAAAUCUCUUCCAUGUUAAGAAAACACUAACAACAUAGUCUGCUGGAAUUCCUACAAAGUUCUUUCUAACCUAAGGCUAAAAACAAACUCUUACCCCUGAAAAAGUAUCACCUCAGGUGGAAUGAUUGCAUCCGAGAGCCAAGAGGACAACGAAGCUAAUCUGGUAAGCUUUAGCUGGAGUGUUGUUUGGAGAUGCAGGUGACUUUCAGGGGUGUGCGGUUUAAACCACUGUGUGUCUCCAGGUAGUAGACUCGCUCCAAGGCAGACGGCACAGUCUGCAGUGCGGUGGGGGAGGCGCUAUGUGGAACUUACUAUCCAGCUAUAAGUUAAAGAUUAUAAGAGAAACUCUGAAUUUGGUUUCUUGUUUUGAAUUUCACAGACAUCAAUUUGAAUGAGCUGACACAAAAUGAUGGUAAUUUAUAAAGAUAAGAGGGUUCUGUUGUUACUGUUUUUUGUUAUUGUCUUGUGGAUCCAAAUCUAGGGAUGGAAGCCCUCCAGGUACACUGGCUUUGCCUCUGCGUCUCUCUGCUCCUCUGUUGCAUUGUUUCCUGGCUGUGCAGGGAGGUGGAUGGCCUGGAAAGAGGUACGUAGAGGCAUUCAGAAAUGCACAACCACACAUCACUCUACAGUGCUUGGAGGAAAAACAAGCUUUCUUAGCCCCAACUGUGUGAUUAAAGAUUGUAUUAAAUCUUUUCAACAUGAGCAGUUUACGUAACUAUAAUAAUAAUAAUUUGGGAAUAUACAUAAACAUUACAUACAGCUUUAGUACUACACUGCUUUUACUUACCAGUCAAAUUUUCCUUUAGAUCUACAUGACCUUUGUAUUCUUUUUUACUGGACUAUAACAUUCCACAACUGAUCAAUGGACUGUAAUAUACUAAACCAGUCACAUAUUAUUGAAAAUUUAAAUUACUUGUAAUAUUUUGUUUUAUACAGAAUAAAAGCUGUUACCAUACAGUUUUUGUUUUGGCUUGCUUUUUGAUCAUUUUAUAUAAAAAUAUCCUCAAACCUGUAAUGAAUUAGUAAAUGGGAAUGAACAUGGUUGCCCCCCCCCCUUUUGUCAGUGUCUCUCUAUAAUAUAGCUCUGGCGGUCUUAGAGCUUGAUAUGUAGAUCAGGCUAGCCUUGAACUCACAGAGCUCUGCCUGCCUCUGCUACCAGAGUGCUGGGAUUAAAGGCAUAAACCACCCUACCCAGCUUAGAGCGGAGAGACAGACUAGGUUCUGCGAAAGAAACUCUUGUUUCUAAUUGUAAGCCUGCCUUUUAACAGGUGAGCCAUCUCUCCAGUGGGUUGUGUCUUUUAAAGGUAUGGCUAGCUUUUGAGAAGGAUUGUGUUCCUGUGUGACGUAUAUGAGAGAGUGUCUCACCAUGACUAAUUUUUUUUUCUAAGUUGGGGGCUUAUUCAGAAUGGCAGGAAGCAUUUGAAUUCCUUGUCGUUUUACAAAGGAUGGCGUCAUAGUUUGAUUUCUAUUGUUGUAAUAAAACACCACAACCAAAAUAACCUGGAGAGAGAAGGGUUUAUUUCAGCUUGCAAUUCUCAGGUCAGUCCAGCCCUGAGGAAAGUCAAGGCAUGAACUCAAGCAGGUCAUAGACCUGCAAUCCGGAACCAAAGCAGGGGCUGUGGAGGAGUGCUGCUUACAGACUUGCCCCUGCUUUUACAGAAAAUUCAGCCUGCUUUCUUAUAGUACCCAGGACCACCAGCCCAGGGGAGACACUAUCCACAAUAGACUGCCCCCCUCCAUCAUCAAUCAAGAAAACACCCUACAGAUAUGCUUGCCGGCCUGACAUGGAGGCAUUUUCUUGAUGAAGAUUCCUUCUUUCCAGAAGACCCUACCUUAGGUGAAACUGACUCAAAAACUAGCCAGAACAGAUAGAAAACAUUUAAAUGGGACAAGAACCUGUAUGAACAGUGUACUCUGUAUUAAAUUAAUUCACACAUACA